UUCUAUCAGUUUUCCACAAUAAAAAAAAACCUUCUUUCUUUUAUACUAUAAAUAUUCUCAAAUCCACCUUCCUCUCUCCAACUUCUCUCCUAAUAUCUUUUUUCACUUUGUUUGUUCGUGCAAUGCCACAGGGCAAUUUCGAAACCUUUGUUUCUGCCUUCGCCGGCGGUUCUUGCGAUAACAAAAUCGUCUGCGAUACCUUAGCAACCACCCAAGAGCAACUCCACACGGCGGAGGAAUCUGUCGACGUAGAAAUCCCGCCUGAAUCUUUUAGGUUAUCCAAAGACGCCGAGUUCCACUGGUUCGAUGGCAACGCUUUUUACGAACGGAAAGAGUCACAUAAAGGAAACUCUGCUUCCAACUUUACCAAUCUUAAUCCUAAUUUGAACUCAGACUCCAAUUCUCAACGCUUUCCCGUGAGAACGUCUAAAGCUUCCAUCAUCGGAUUACCGAAACCGCAAAAAUCUUGUUUUAUUCUAACAAAGAACAGGAAGAAUACUAAGCCUAGAAACACUAGAUUGUUUCCUAAACGUCCCGGUUCUGUUAAAUCAGUUUCGCCGGUUGAACCGUCCUCGCCUAAGGUUUCUUGUAUGGGAAGGGUGAGAUCGAGGCAAGACCCGAAUCGCUCACUAAAAAAGAACCGCCAAAAUCCGGACGAAAUCGAAUCAGUUAAAGAGAAAAGAACAAGAAAAAGAAGCGGUUGUUUUCCAAGUUUUUUGGCUAUUUUUCGAUCAAACGGCAGAGCACCUGAAUCACACACUGUUGCAGUGGAGCCUUCGCCGCCGAGGAACAGCGACAUUAGGUCUCGUUUGCCGCCAGAUGAUCGCGAUGCAAAAUCAAUGGAGCCUGGAAUCACGGAGACCGCACCGGUGGGUCUAGGUGGAAUGAAGCACUUGGCGUCGGGUAGAAGAUCUGAGCCGUUAAUCUACCUGUUGGAAAAGGUAUGUUAGUGGUGGGCCAUAGCUAAGGCGUGGGUUGGACCAGGGUCGCGGUAAGUUUCGUUCCGUGCUGACGUGCAUUAUUUAUAAGAGGUAAAAAAAUAUUAUUCCGUAUCUUUUGUUUAGUUCUUUCUAAUUUUAAUCUUUAUCUAUCAUCUGAAUAACUUGCUUUUUCUUUAAGUUUUAAGCUUAAACUGAUUGCAUAUGACUUACUAUCACAGAGAGGGAGUUGUUGCCAGUGGAGCUGCUGCUGCUGCUAUAAGGUAAUUUGUACAGAGCAAAGAUGGUUCGAUGAAUGAACCUUCAUAUCAAUUGCUAUUGAAGAAGGAGAAGGCCCAUGACAUGGACAUAAAUUCUGUACAAUGGUGCCCUGGGGAAAAACGCCUCCUUGCUUCUGCCAGUGAUGAUGGGACAAUAAAGGUAUGGGAGCUGGCAACUUUGCCCUGAUCAAAAUUUCUUUGUUUAUUUUUUCAUACCUAUGGGAGU